rnacentral:rRNA from 1 species
UACGAGGGGGGCAAGCGUUGUUCGGAAUUAUUGGGCGUAAAGGGCGCGUAGGCGGUGUCGCAAGUCCGUGGUGAAAUCUCUAGGCUCAACUUAGAGACUGCCGCGGAAACUGCGGUGCUUGAGUGUGGGAGAGGUGCGUGGAAUUCCCGGUGUAGCGGUGAAAUGCGUAGAUAUUGGGAGGAACACCAGUGGCGAAGGCGGCUCACUGGACCGGAACUGACGCUGAGGCGCGAAAGCGUGGGGAGCAAACGGG